rnacentral:rRNA from 1 species
UACGAAGGGGGCUAGCGUUGCUCGGAAUGACUGGGCGUAAAGGGCGCGUAGGCGGAUGGCACAGUCAGAUGUGAAAUUCCCGGGCUUAACCUGGGGGGCUGCAUUUGAUACGUGUGAUCUAGAGUGAGGAAGAGGGUCGUGGAAUUCCCAGUGUAGAGGUGAAAUUCGUAGAUAUUGGGAAGAACACCGGUGGCGAAGGCGGCGACCUGGUCCGAUACUGACGCUGAGGCGCGAAAGCGUGGGGGAGCAAACAGG